UCCGAGGCCGCUGCGAUGACCAAAAUAAAAGGAGAUCUGGACCGGCCCCGAGGCUCAGGCGUAGGCGUGCUCCAGGGAGCGCACCUACCGGGAGCUUCUGGUCAACUAGAACCCCAUCGCGCAGCCCCUAGCUUCUCGCUGCCUGGCGCAGAAGCUCUACAAAUCCAUCAAAAAAGCCCUGAAGCAGAAGCAGAUUCCGCGCGGGGUGAAAGAGGUUCAGAAGUUUGUCAACAAAGGAGAAAAAAGGAUCAUGGUUUUGGCAGGAGACACACUGCCCAUUGAGGUAUACUACCAUCUCCCAGUCAUGUGUGAGGACCGAAAUCUGCCCUGUGUCUAUAUCCCCUCUAAGACGGACCUGGGUGCAGCCGCAGGCACCAAGCACCCCACCUGUGUGAUAAUGGUCAAGCCCCACAAGGAGUACCAGGAAGCCUACGACCAGUGCCUGGGGGAGGUGCAGUCCCUGCCCCUAUCCCUGUGAGGGGACCUGGUAGCACCUAGGCAUCUGCCUCUGGAAGCUACUGGGUUGGCAGAGGGAUGACUGGCUGUCCUCUUGCCCACCCACACUGACGGCAUCUUCCCAGUUCCCCAAGGCACACCUUCUUCCCAGGCAGCUCUGACAGCCCUUUCAUGAGGUAACGCCAGCCAUUUCCUGUGGAACUUAAGUGAAGGCUAUCCCAAGAAUGUGGGAUGGGGAAAGUAAACACUAAGAC